AAUGAACGUUGGCGGCGUGCCUAACACAUGCAAGUCGAGCGAGAAAACUCCUUCGGGAGUGAGUACAGCGGCGGACGAUUGAGUAACACGUGAGUAUCUGCCCUUUAGUGAAGAAUACCUUCGAGAAAUCGAUGCUAAUUCUGCAUAAGUCCCUUCGGGGAGAAAGGUGGCCUCUUUGCUACCGCUAGAGGAGGAACUUGCGGCCUAUCAGCUAGUUGGUGAGGUAACGGCUCACCAAGGCGAUGACGGGUAGCUGGCCUGAGAGGGUGGUCAGCCAGAUUGGAACUGAGAUACGGUCCAGACUCCUACGGGAGGCAG
rnacentral:rRNA from 1 species